rnacentral:rRNA from 1 species
CCUACGGGUGGCAGCAGUGAGGAAUAUUGGUCAAUGGACGAGAGUCUGAACCAGCCAAGUAGCGUGAAGGAUGACUGCCCUAUGGGUUGUAAACUUCUUUUAUAUGGGAAUAAAACGUUCCACGUGUGGGAUUUUGUAUGUACUUUAUGAAUAAGGAUCGGCUAACUCCGUGCCAGCAGCCGCGGUAAUACGGAGGAUCCGAGCGUUAUCCGGAUUUAUUGGGUUUAAAGGGAGCGUAGGUGGGUUGUUAAGUCAGUUGUGAAAGUUUGCGGCUCAACCGUAAAAUUGCAGUUGAUACUGGCAGUCUUGAGUACAGUUGAGGUAGGCGGAAUUCGUGGUGUAGCGGUGAAAUGCUUAGAUAUCACGAAGAACCCCGAUUGCGAAGGCAGCUCACUAAACUGUAACUGACACUGAGGCUCGAAAGUGUGGGUAUCAAACAGGAUUAGAUACCCUAGUAGUU